rnacentral:rRNA from 1 species
AAUCAACGCUGGCGGCGUGCCUAACACAUGCAAGUCGCACGAGAAAGGGUAGCAAUACCUGAGUAAAGUGGCGCACGGGUGAGUAACACGUGACUAAUCUACCCUCGAGUGGGGAAUAACUGAGAGAAAUCUUAGCUAAUACCGCAUAACACUUACGAGUCAAAGCAGCAAUGCGCUUGGGGAGGAGGUCGCGGCCGAUUAGCUAGUUGGCGGGGUAAUGGCCCACCAAGGCGAUGAUCGGUAUCCGGCCUGAGAGGGCGCACGGACACACUGGAACUGAAACACGGUCCAGACUCCUACGGGAGGCAGCAGUGGGGAAUUUUGCGCAAUGGGGGAAACCCUGACGCAGCAACGCCGCGUGGAGGAUGAAAUAUCUUGGUAUGUAAACUCCUUUCGAUGGGGAAGAUUAUGACGGUACCCAUAGAAGAAGCCCCGGCUAACUUCGUGCCAGCAGCCGCGGUAAUACGAGGGGGGCAAGCGUUGUUCGGAUUUAUUGGGCGUAAAGGGUGCGUAGGCGGUUUGGCAAGUCUUGUGUGAAAUCUAUGGGCUCAACCCAUAGUCUGCACAAGAAACUGCCG